CUAAGAAUAUUGGACAAUGGGGGAAACCCUGAUCCAGCCAUGCCGCGUGAAUGAAGAAGGCCUUCGGGUUGUAAAGUUCUUUUAGUCGUGAAGAUGAUGACAGUAGCGACAGAAAAAGCACCGGCUAACUUCGUGCCAGCAGCCGCGGUAAUACGAAGGGUGCAAGCGUUGUUCGGAUUUACUGGGCGUAAAGCGUCCGUAGGUGGUUUGUUAAGUCAGUGGUGAAAUCCCAGGGCCCAACCCUGGAACCGCCUUUGAUACUGGCAAACUGGAGCGUGAUAGAGGAAGAUGGAAUAUCUGGUGUAGGGGUGAAAUCCGUAGGUAUCAGAUGGAACACCAAUGGCGAAGGCAAUCCCCUGGGCCUGUACUGACGCUCAUGCACGAAAGCGUGGGGAGCAAACA
rnacentral:rRNA from 1 species